rnacentral:rRNA from 1 species
CCGCUAUUGGAGUUCGAUUAAGCCAUGCGAGUCGAGAGUCCUCGGGACUCGGCGUACCGCUCAGUAACACGUGGGUAACCUGCCCUAUGCUGGGGAAUAACCUCGGGAAACUGAGAAUAAUGCCCCAUAGCCCACUACGCCUGGAACGGUGAGUGGGUCAAAGCCCCGGCGGCAUAGGAUGGGCCUGCGCCGUAUCAGGUUGUAGGGGGUGUAAAGUACCCUCUAGCCAUCAACGCGUACGGGUGUUGGGAGACAUUGCCCGGAGAUGGAUUCUGAGACACGAAUCCAGACCCUACGGGGUGCAGCAGGCGCGAAAACUUGGCAAUGCGAGCAAUCGUGACCAGGGAACUCCAAGUGCGUAGGGUAAGACCUACGCUUUUCUUGACUCUUCAAAGGUCUUGGAAUAAGGGGUGGGUAAGGACGGUGCCAGCCGCCGCGGUAAUACCGGCGCCUCAAGUGGUAGUCGCUUUUAUUGGGCCUAAAACGUCCGUAGCCGGUCUGGUGCAUUCGUGGGUAAAUCAACCCGCUCAACGGGUUGAAUUCUGCGAGCACGGCCAGACUUGGGACCGGGAGAGGUGUGGGGUACUCUCAGGGUAGGGGUAAAAUCCUGUCAUCCUGAGAGGACCACCUGUUGCGAAGGCGCCACACUAGAACGGAUCCGACGGUCAGGGACGAAACCUAGGGGCACGAACCGGAUUAGAUACCCGGGUAGUCCUAGGUGUAAACGCUGUGGACUUGAUGUUGGGGGCGCUCCGAGCGCUCUCAGUGCCGAAGCGAAGGUGAUAAGUCCACUGCCUGGGGAGUACGGUCGCAAGGCUGAAACUUAAAGGAAUUGGCGGGGGAGCACUGCAACCUGAGGAUUGUGCGG